GGAGUUAGCCGGUGCUUCUUCUGUGAGUGAUGUCCUUCCUGCCGGUUAUUGACCCGCAGGCCUUCUUCCUCACUGAAAGUGCUUUACAACCCGAAGGCCUUCUUCACACACGCGGCAUGGCUGGAUCAGGGUUGCCCCCAUUGUCCAAUAUUCCCCACUGCUGCCUCCCGUAGGAGUCUGGGCCGUGUCUCAGUCCCAGUGUGGCUGAUCAUCCUCUCAGACCAGCUACGGAUCGUCGCCUUGGUGAGCCGUUACCUCACCAACCAGCUAAUCCGACAUAGGCUCAUCCGAUAGCGCGAGGCCCGAAGGUCCCCCGCUUUCCCCCGUAGGGCGUAUGCGGUAUUAGCCUGGGUUUCCCCAGGUUAUCCCCCACUACCCGGGCAGAUUCCUAUGCAUUACUCACCCGUCCGCCGCUCGCCACCAGGGAGCAAGCUCCCCGUGCUGCCGCUCGACUUGCAUGUGUUAGGCCUGCCGCCAGCGUUCAAUCUGAGCCAGAAUCAAACUCUGA
rnacentral:rRNA from 1 species